CAUGUCUUAGAUAAACAUAGAUAAUUUUUUUCUCCUGUAGUGCCAGUCCUCAUCGUUAAAAUUAACUAAAAGAGUUAACGUCCUCUUCUGUGUACUUUCCCAGUAGAAUUAUUUCUAUGUCCGGCUGGAAGAAACGGAAUUCAAGAAAAAAAGCCUUUGACAACCGGUUGCUCGGAACAAAUACCAACAGUAAACCCUCCGGAUGUAGUUGGCAGAUGAUCUACAGCUACGGUCGGAUUAUUAAGUACUGUUCUAUCUAGAUCAGUUGGACAUCAGCAGUAAUUGUUCCGAAUGGAGCUACAUGUUAAAUCUAACGAUGGAUUGUUUCACGCGUUGGUGGUACGUUGACGAAAGGUGGCGGUACUACGGAAUUACCAACGUCGAAUUUUGAAACAUGUUUUUCUUGUCCACAAUUAUUUACAUUAUACUCCAAACCAUACUAUAAUUUUGAAUGUGCGAGUUACAUAAAUAUUAUUUUUGAAUUAUGUUUAUUUUACAUUUUUAUAUAAUACAAUAUAACUAGAAAAUGCAA